GGAUGUGAGGGCGAUCUGGCUGCGACAUCUGUCACCCCAUUGAUCGCCAGGGUUGAUUCGGCUGAUCUGGCUGGCUAGGCGGGUGUCCCCUUCCUCCCUCACCGCUCCAUGUGCGUCCCUCCCGAAGCUGCGCGCUCGGUCGAAGAGGACGGCCUUCCCCAAAUAGAGACGGACCGGUCUUCGGUCGAGGGUAUACGAGUAGCUGCGCUCCCCUGCUAGAACCUCCAAACAAGCUCUCAAGGUCCAUUUGUAGGAGAACGUAGGGUAGUCAAGCUUCCAAGACUCCAGACACAUCCAAAUGAGGCGCUGCAUGUGGCAGUCUGCCUUUCUAA
ensembl:misc_RNA 7SK 7SK RNA